GCGAAUGGCUCAUUAUAUAAGUUAUCGUUUAUUUGAUAGUACCUUACUACUUGGAUAACCGUGGUAAUUCUAGAGCUAAUACAUGCUAAAAAUCCCGACUUCGGAAGGGAUGUAUUUAUUAGAUUAAAAACCAAUGCCCUCUGGGCUCCUUGGUGAUUCAUAAUAACUUUUCGAAUCGCAUGGCCUUGCGCCGGCGAUGGUUCAUUCAAAUUUCUUCCCUAUCAACUUUCGAUGUUUGGGUAUUGGCCAAACAUGGUCGCAACGGGUAACGGAGGGUUAGGGCUCGACCCCGGAGAAGGAGCCUGAGAAACGGCUACUACAUCCAAGGAAGGCAGCAGGCGCGCAAAUUACCCAAUCCCGAUUCGGGGAGGUAGUGACAAUAAAUACUGAUACAGGGCUCUUUUGGGUCUUGUAAUUGGAAUGAGUACAAUUUAAAUCCCUUAACGAGGAACAAUUGGAGGGCAAGUCUGGUGCCAGCAGCCGCGGUAAUUCCAGCUCCAAUAGCGUAUAUUAAAGUUGUUGUGGUUAAAAAGCUCGUAGUUGAACCUUGGGCCUGGCUGGCCGGUCCGCCUCACCGCGUGUACUGGUCCGGCCGGGCCUUUCCCUCUGUGGAACCUCAUGCCCUUCACUGGGUGUGGCGGGGAAACAGGACUUUUACUUUGAAAAAAUUAGAGUGCUCCAGGCAGGCCUAUGCUCGAAUACAUUAGCAUGGAAUAAUGAAAUAGGACGUGUGGUUCUAUUUUGUUGGUUUCUAGGACCGCCGUAAUGAUUAAUAGGGACAGUCGGGGGCAUCAGUAUUCAAUUGUCAGAGGUGAAAUUCUUGGAUUUAUUGAAGACUAACUACUGCGAAAGCAUUUGCCAAGGAUGUUUUCAUUAAUCAGGAACGAAAGUUAGGGGAUCGAAGACGAUCAGAUACCGUCGUAGUCUUAACCAUAAACUAUGCCGACUAGGGAUCGGACGAUGUUAUUUUUUGACGCGUUCGGCACCUUACGA
rnacentral:rRNA from 1 species